rnacentral:lncRNA from 1 species
UCCUGUAGAGGAUGGUUUCACUGAAGGAGACUGGCUGGAAGGGCAUUAAUGUUCUGAUGCAGAUACUCCCUUGCAAAUCUCCAUGUUUUCUUCUAUGCUCCAAUUGCUGCAAUGUGAGGAAUGUCUCAGACUUUCUAUUUGCAGACAGUUUUCAUGGUGACAGCUUCUGCUCAGACCUUUCUGCCAUGGCUGUAUGUUCCUGAAGCCAUCAGUUCAGGGAUGCUGAAGUUCACCCUGGUAUUAUAGAAUAUAUCUUUGGCAGUGAAUCCCUAAGCUGAGUUACAUGCCUUGUCUGGACUGCUCUAAGGUUUGUUUCUUUUUUCGUAGCAAGCAUUAGACAGAAUUUCAGUCAAUGACAGUGUUUGGUCAGGUGACUGCUGCAAAGUUUGCUUCAGAGAGUGAGGACAACAAAUGAUGUCUGAGCUGGUUCAUUGCCUUUACAGUGGGUGCAGAAGGACUGACUCUGUUGUGGUGUGCAGUUGUCCUGGCCAUCCUUGGGGGAUGGUCCAGUGAUGGUUGUCUUAAUAGCUG